CAAUAGCGUAUAUUAAAGUUGUUGCAGUUAAAAAGCUCGUAGUUGGAUUUCGGGACGGGCCAGUUGGUCCGCCGCAAGGUGUGUUACUGACUGGUCUGUUCUUCUUCGCAAAGACUGCGUGUGCUCUUCGUUGAGUGUGCGUAGGAUUUACGACGUUUACUUUGAAAAAAUUAGAGUGUUCAAAGCAGGCUGUCGCUUGAAUACAUGAGCAUGGAAUAAUGGAAUAGGACUUUGGUCCUAUUUUGUUGGUUUCUAGGACCGAAGUAAUGAUUAAGAGGGACAAUUGGGGGCAUCCGUAUUUCGUUGUCAGAGGUGAAAUUCUUGGAUUUACGAAAGACGAACAACUGCGAAAGCACUUGCCAAGAGUGUUUUCAUUAA
rnacentral:rRNA from 1 species